UGGCGACCGGCGCACGGGUGAGUAACACGUAUCCAACCUGCCGAUGACUCGGGGAUAGCCUUUCGAAAGAAAGAUUAAUACCCGAUGGCAUAGUUCUUCCGCAUGGUAGAACUAUUAAAGAAUUUCGGUCAUCGAUGGGGAUGCGUUCCAUUAGGCAGUUGGUGAGGUAACGGCUCACCAAACCUUCGAUGGAUAGGGGUUCUGAGAGGAAGGUCCCCCACAUUGGAACUGAGACACGGUCCAA
rnacentral:rRNA from 1 species